UUGCUUUGGCAGCACAUGUACUAAAAUUGGAAAGAUACAAGAAGAUUAGUGUGGCCUCUUCACUAGGAUGACAUGCGAAUUCAUGAAACAUUCCAUAAAAAU